GACGAACGCUGGCGGCGUGCUUAACACAUGCAAGUCGAACGGAAAGGCCCUGAUUUUGUGGGGUGCUCGAGUGGCGAACGGGUGAGUAACACGUGAGUAACCUGCUCUUGACUUUGGGAUAACUUCAGGAAACUGGGGCUAAUACCGGAUAGGAGCUCCCGUUGCAUGGUGGGCGUGGGAAAGUUUCGGCGGUCGGGGAUGGACGCGCGGCUGAUCAGCUUGUUGGUGGGGGAGUGGCUUACCAAGGCUUGGGCGGGUAGCCGGCCUGAGAGGGUGACCGGCCACAUUGGUACUAAGAGACGGCCCAGACUCCUACGGUAGGCAGCGGUGGGGAAUAUUGCACAAUGGGCGGGAGCCUGAUGCAGCGGCGCCGCGUGCGGGAUGACGGCCUUCGGGGUGUAAACCGCUUUCGCCUGUGACGAAGCGUGAGUGACGGUAAUGGGUAAAGAAGCACCGGCUAACUACGUG
rnacentral:rRNA from 1 species